UACAGAGGUCCCAAGCGUUGUUCGGAUUCACUGGGCGUAAAGGGUGCGUAGGCGGUCGGGUAAGUCUGACGUGAAAUCUCCAAGCCUAACUUGGAAACUGCGUUGGAUACUAUCCGGCUCGAGGAAUGGAGGGGAGACUGGAAUACUUGGUGUAGCAGUGAAAUGCGUAGAUAUCAAGUGGAACACCAGUGGCGAAGGCGAGUCUCUGGACAUUUCCUGACGCUGAGGCACGAAGGUCAGGGGAGCAAACGGG
rnacentral:rRNA from 1 species